AUUGGACCACCAAGGAAUGCAAUCUCCCCCCUCCCUGGCAAGGUAAGAAGCAGGGAGGGGGGAAAUUGCAUUCCUUGGUGGUCCAGUGACAUGGU